rnacentral:rRNA from 1 species
UAGAGUUUGAUCCUGGCUCAGGACGAACGCUGGCGGCGUGCCUAAUACAUGCAAGUCGAGCGGACAGAUGGGAGCUUGCUCCCUGAUGUUAGCGGCGGACGGGUGAGUAACACGUGGGUAACCUGCCUGUAAGACUGGGAUAACUCCGGGAAACCGGGGCUAAUACCGGAUGGUUGUUUGGACCGCAUGGUUCAGACAUAAAAGGUGGCUUCGGCUACCACUUACAGAUGGACCCGCGGCGCAUUAGCUAGUUGGUGAGGUAACGGCUCACCAAGGCGACGAUGCGUAGCCGACCUGAGAGGGUGAUCGGCCACACUGGGACUGAGACACGGCCCAGACUCCUACGGGAGGCAGCAGUAGGGAAUCUUCCGCAAUGGACGAAAGUCUGACGGAGCAACGCCGCGUGAGUGAUGAAGGUUUUCGGAUCGUAAAGCUCUGUUGUUAGGGAAGAACAAGUGCCGUUCAAAUAGGGCGGCACCUUGACGGUACCUAACCAGAAAGCCACGGCUAACUACGUGCCAGCAGCCGCGGUAAUACGUAGGUGGCAAGCGUUGUCCGGAAUUAUUGGGCGUAAAGGGCUCGCAGGCGGUUUCUUAAGUCUGAUGUGAAAGCCCCCGGCUCAACCGGGGAGGGUCAUUGGAAACUGGGGAAC